rnacentral:lncRNA from 1 species
AGAGUUUUCUCUGUCGCGUAGGGUGUUGUGUUAAUUUUGGCGGUCUCAGAUGUCUCAGGUACCUGGGUCGGAGUCCUUUCUGUUGUUAUCUACUGGAUUCCCUUGAUUCAAGGCCUAGGGAGUUCCUGCCCUACACUGGCCCUCGCGAAAAUAUUUGUCUUUGAGGACGUCUGGGGCUGCGACCGCGGAAUAGAAAAAAAUAGUAGGUGAGCUGCUGCCAAAAAGGAGCGACUAGAAAGGUUUUGUACUUGCUUCUGUAGAAGGGGAAUUUCUCUUUUGUGCUAAUGAUGUGGAAAGAAAAAACAAAAAGACUGUAAAAUAGCGAUGCCCUAAACAUAAUGGAGAAAAGCGGGAGAAACCAAGCUUUAGGACUGAAAGGGGUGGUGCCAGUCUCGUUUCCUAGGUUACUGCUUUCACGAACCGAAAGAAUUUCAGAAUGUGGCGAGCUCCAAUUUUUAAACGCACUGCUGCUUUUGCCUCAGCUGGGCUUCCAAACAGAAAGUCCAGAAGCUGCCCUCGAUGAAUCGUAACUAAUGCACUGUUACUGCCAGCGAACACAUUCCGGGUUAGAAAUAAUAGCUCUAACAAAUUGUUUUGCGCGCCUAGUCUCAUAUUAUCUUCUCAACAACGCAAUUUUACAGAUGAAGAAUCCAAGACACAUAGAUGUUUGGGAACUUUCUCUUAUCUGGUUUUAAAUAGGCUUGAAUCCAGAUCAUUGAACUCUAAACACCAGUGCUGUCUGCAUAUAGCAGAUUGUUUAUAUGUUAAGUGUGAAUUUCAGUAGUGCAAAAAAAAAAACAAAACCUGCCUCUUUUUUUUUUUUGCAUAAUUAUUUUGUCCGUGCAUAGAGAAAUAAAAAGGUACUGGCUCUAACCUGUUUAAGGAGAGGAUGGGGUUGCCUUAUUUUUCAGACCUCAGGUUGAAGAACUUCCAUGAGUAUAAAACCUCAAGAAGGAAAAACCUUGGUAUUUUUUAUUCGAAUCAGAGUGAUAUGAUUUUGAGGCAGGAAGACUUGUCAUCUUAAUUAUUCUGUGCUUCCUAUCCUCAAAAAUUAUUUCCCUAAGUCCCGUAGUAGCGUAGAAUUAUUGCAUCUUCAAAGAACAAUGAUUACUCUCUCAGAUGCAGUACAGAAAACCACCACCAAAAUUAUUAAUACUUGGUUCACAUCAGAAGUGAGCUCUGGCUUCAUAAGAUCUAACAAAUCCUCUCCACUCUCAGAUGACAAGCCGACUUUGGCAAAAGGAAGCAAAGCAAAAAUGAGAAAUCAUUAACUAUAAAGAGCCUUUCCAUCUCUGCUUUCCUCAACUCAUAUUGGCCUUGCUCUGCUCAACCAGCAAUCGAAAAUUAUUCUAGGCCGGGCGCGGUGGCUCACCCCUGUAGCCUCA